GCCCCCAUAGCUCAGGGGAUAGAGCACGGGUUUCCUAAACCCGGUGUCGUUGGUUCGAAUCCGACUGGGGGCACCA
rnacentral:tRNA from 1 species